GAUGAAGAACGUAGCGAAAUGCGAUAAGUAAUGUGAAUUGCAGAAUUCAGUGAAUCAUCGAAUCUUUGAACGCAUAUUGCGCCCCUUGGUUAUUCCGGGGGGCACACCUGUUCGAGCGUCAUUAUCCUCCCUCAAACCUCGGGUUUGGUGAUGGACCCAAGUUGUGUGAACAACUGGUCUUAAAGACAAUGACGGCGUCCGUGGGACCCUCGGUGCAACGAGCUUUUAGGAGCACGCGUCGAGUUUCAAGGACCUUCCGGGCCGGUCUCCUUUACCAUUUUACAAGGUUGACCUCGGAUCAGGUAGGAAUACCCGCUGAACUUAAGCAUAUCAAUAAGCGGAGGA
rnacentral:misc_RNA from 1 species